UAUCUUUAGCAACACUUUUGA
rnacentral:miRNA from 1 species